UUCUCGCGUUAGGGAUUGCAGCGGCAUCCUUUUUUGGGCGGCUGUGCCGGCUAAAAAAGAUACAGCGGAAAGCGCGACCCGAU
rnacentral:sRNA from 2 species